GCUGCCCUCAAGCACGGCUUGUGUGUUGGGCCCCGUCCUCCUUCCGGGGGACGGUCCGAAAGGCAGCGGCGGCACCGCGUCCGGUCCUCAAGCGUAUGGGGCUUUGUCACUCGCUUUGUAGGCCUGGCCGGCGCUUGCCGAUCAACCAAACUUUUUAUCAGGUUGACCUCGGAUCAGGUAGGGAUACCCGCUGAACUUAA
rnacentral:misc_RNA from 1 species